GGAGAAGGUACGCUGCCGAUGGUGAUUAAACUUGCUUUAUGAGCUGUUGGCAGUCGCAGAUACCAGGCUGCUGCAACUGUUUAUUAAAAACACAGCACUCUGCAAACACGAAAGUGGACGUAUAGGGUGUGAUGCCUGCCCGGUGCUGGAAGGUUAAUUGAUGGGGUUAGCGUAUGCGAAGCUCUUGAUCGAAGCCCCAGUAAACGGCGGCCGU
rnacentral:rRNA from 1 species